rnacentral:rRNA from 1 species
UACAGUGGGUGCAAACGUUGCUCGGAAUCAUUGGGCGUAAAGCGCACGUAGGCGGUCUGUUAUGUCGGAUGUGAAAGCCCUUGGCUCAACUGAGGAAGUGCAUCCGAAACUGGCAGGCUAGAGUACUAAAGAGGGUCGCGGAAUUCCCGGUGUAGAGGUGAAAUUCGUAGAUAUCGGGAGGAACACCGGUGGCGAAGGCGGCGACCUGGGUAGAUACUGACGCUGAGGUGCGAAAGCGUGGGGAGCAAACAGG